AUUGAACGCUGGCGGCAGGCCUAACACAUGCAAGUAGAGCGGAGCGGCGGACGGGUGAGUAAUGCCAAGGAAUCUGCCUGGUAGUGGGGGAUAACGUCCGGAUACGGGCGCUAAUACCGCAUACUAUCAGAUGAGCCUAGGUCGGAUGAGCAAGUUGGUGGGGUAAAGGCUUUCAAAGGGGACGAUCAGUAACUGGGCUGAGAGGAUGAUCAGUCACACUGGAACUGAGAAACGGUCCAGACUCCUACGGGAGGCAGCAGUGGGGAAUAUUGGACAAUGGGCGAAAUCCUGAUCCAGCCAUGCCGCGUGUGUGAAGAAGGUCUUCGGAUUGUAAAGUACUUUAAGUUGGGAGGCGUUACCAACAGAAUAAGCACCGGCUAACUUCGUGCCAGCAGCCGCGGUAAUUC
rnacentral:rRNA from 1 species